AGGAAACGUCGCUGUUCGUAUUCCUGGUGGCUAUUAAGACCGGCGCUAAUCCUCCACCACUACCGUCCGACCUCCUCGCUACAAAUUCUCAUAAAUUCGUCCAAUAAAUCCCAGCAUUCAUCGAGUAGAAGCUGCUCGAUUGAACUGAUCCGCCGCCAUCACCUCUAGGUUAAAAACUAAUCGCGCUGCCCCUCUGGUCUCAACGCUGGUACCUGGAUGCUCCAGAUUUUAACCCCCCUUUCCUUAUUUUUCAAUCCCUAACAUAUCUUCCCAAUCUAGCAGGUUGCCCUCCACCCGUUUUGAUUUGAUUUUGCAUGCUGCUAGCUCAAAGCUCUACGAUUUGUUUGGAUUUAUUGGUUUCUCCAUGCCGCUCUGAAGAUCAGAGGACAUGAUCAUGUGUGUUGCCAUCAGAUUGCUCAUCUGCUAGCUCAAAGCCCCGCAUUCGGAUCUAUUGGAUUCUCCAUGCCCCUCUCUGAAGAUCGGAAAAAGCGGCCAUCAUUGUGUGUACUGCCGACAGAGUGCUCAACUGAUUUUGUUUUUUUGCGUUCUGCAGCUUACAUCCAUUCAAGAUUGACGUUGCCUCUCAUCGAUGCAUGAAGCCUGCCUGCUGCUAGAGCCGUGCUCCUGCAUCUUCAUAGACCCCUCUCUACCACCGUGGGAGUGUUCAUGUCCUCCUUAAUCAAGGGCAUCUUCCUAUUCAUGGCCUCAUUGUACCACAUGCUGGAUGUGAUAAGCAGCAGUCCCGCUCCUCCUCCUCCAGUUAUCCAGGGCUCCCGUAAAUUCGAGCUCAGACUGUUGACAGUGAUCAAUAGAUCCACCAGUUUCUUGCUUAUCCAUGAAGAAUCAGAUUGAAGAAGGUGUGAGAUCAUUGCUAUGUAUUUACGUUUUUUUUUGUUAAUGGGGUUUAACCAUUUAAUAUAUAAGUUCUCAUUGCUCAAGUUGGUUUGAGAACACAAUGGGAUUAUCUUUUUUUCAGGUAGUGUUGCAAGUUGGACAGAUGAUAAACCAUACUGAAGUUUCUGGACUGUCUAUUUUCUUUGUUGCUUCAACUGUCAUUUUGUGCUUUUGCUCCAUCAUUAUUUUGGUGAUAUGUGCAUUAUACGGUAGACAAGGUAGGAAACAAUGGCUAAUGUACAUCAACCAACGAGUAAAAGUGACUUAGCAAGUAUAGCGUUAUUUGUAUAAAGAGUAUCUCUAUUGCCGA